AUUUAUGUAAUGCACAUCGAACACAGCAGAAUUUUAGCUCCUAGGAAUCUGAUUAUUUUCUCUGUGCCUUGACUCAAAAGUUUUGGGAAGCACAGUCCUCUAGUCCACUGGGGAUUUUUAGUAAGACACAUCCCUGCCAGAUUUUCCCUGGUGCUUUCAAAACUGGCCAUGAAGCCGCGGCUGCUGGCUGUGAUCAGCACGUAGAUUCGUCUCAAAAAUUCAAUCUUGUCUUCUGCCUUGAACACGCAGCAUGUCCUGGUCCCUUCACACGGGGCCCUGUGCCGGUUUGGCAAAGUGACCGGAGAGAGGUUCGUUUCCUGCAAGUCCAUUGUCCCUGCCCACUGACUUGGACAAAUCGGUCACCUAGACGUUGAGUAAAAAUUCAGAAACUUCCUUCUUCCAGCCUGCUGGAUGCUUCCACGCCCUUCCCCUUCCUCGGGGCACCAUCCGGGGCCGGGUCCCCAGGCCUUGCAGCGGACGGCUCCCACCUGGUGUCCACCCUUGGCAGGCCAUGCCUCUCCUUGCGAACUUUCCGCAGGUGUCUCAGGAAGUGGCGGUGCGGCCAGCGGUGGCGGCCCAGAGAGGCGGGGCUGGUGCUCCUGGACUUCUCUUGUCCUUCAGGUUCCAUGCCCCAGAUCCUGCAGGUGGCAGAAACCCGCCAGGCUUCUGGGGACACCCCGAGCGGUGGCCCCGGAGCGCGCGUCCCCUCCCCCGGCCUCGCUGGAGAAUCCAGCUGGGUGUACGACCGCUUGGCUCUCUGUGGCAGUAUUCCAUCGAGUCCUACGCUGGUGACCUCACACAGUGCCCAGAAGCCCAUGUCCGCAGACAGCCAGCCUACCGGAAGUCAUGUAAGCCAUGUUUUCAAAUGGCACCACACCAUGUUGAUACUUUUACAUGACAGA
rnacentral:lncRNA from 1 species